rnacentral:rRNA from 1 species
UACGUAGGGGGCAAGCGUUGUCCGGAAUCAUUGGGCGUAAAGCGCGUGUAGGCGGCCCGGUAAGUCCGCUGUGAAAGUCCAGGGCUCAACCCUGGGAUGCCGGUGGAUACUGUCGGGCUCGAGUCCGGAAGAGGCGAGUGGAAUUCCUGGUGCAGCGGUGAAAUGCGCAGAUAUCAGGAGGAACACCAAUGGCGAAGGCAGCUCGCUGGGACGUGACUGACGCUGAGACGCGAAAGCGUGGGGAGCAAACAGG